UGCAAUGCGGUAUGUCAAAGACGGUAUAAGAGCUGCGUGGCUUGUGAUGAAGCACUCUCAACACACGUUGUUAGCUGGAGAAGGAGCAUCAGCUUUUGCUAUCUCCAUGGGUCUUCCUGGACCUAUGAACCUGAGCUCCCCUGAAUCUUUAAAGAAGUGGUUGGACUGGAAAGAGAAUCGGUGUCAGCCCAAUUUUAGAAAGAACGUUGUCCCUGCGAACGGCUGUGGACCUUACAAGCCGAAACAUGGUGGUAUGGAUGUUUCUACUGAGUCUUGUGAGAUGGGAACAAUAGAGUAUAGACUUCCUCCUCUUGUUGGUCCUCACAACCAUGAUACCAUAUCGAUGGCUGUUAUUGACAAGGUAAGGAUGAGUUUCAGUCUCUUAUACAUCUUUUUUUUUUUGACAUGAAGAGAUAAACUGAGUGUAGUCCUUUUAAAUAGAUGGGGCAUAUAGCUGUUGGGACAUCCACCAACGGUGCAACAUUCAAGAUUCCCGGAAGGUAAUGCCCUGACUCUCUUAUUUCAUGCAAAGAUUUAAAAGAAAAAACCAUUUUUAAGUCUUGAUUAUGAAACACAGGGUGGGUGAUGGGCCUAUAGCGGGCUCAUCAGCCUAUGCUGAUGAUGAAGUAGGUGGGUGUGGUGCAACUGGAGAUGGAGACAUCAUGAUGCGCUUCCUUCCCUGGUAAUCAUCACCCAAUCUCUGUGAGCAAAGCUAUAGAUUUUGUUUUUUCUAGCUUAAAGCAAGCUAAUGAUCCAGACAUGCUUUUCUUGGUUGUUUGCAUUGGUCACACUGAUGAAUCAUGUCUAUUAACGUGCAUGCACUGUAUGGCAUGUUUAAGUUAAAAGUUAAAUGGUUAUUAUUAUUAUUAUUUUUUCUUGAUUGUUACUUAUGAUGGUUCUUCCUCUGGUUUACUUGGCUGUGGUUUAAGUUACCAAGUCGUGGAGAGCAUGAGACAAGGAAUGAAACCAGAGCAAGCUGCUAAGGACGCGGUCUCGAGAAUCGCUAGGAAGUUUCCUGAUUUUGUGGGAGCGGUUGUUGCUGUUGACAAGAACGGGUCUCACGCAGGAGCUUGCCAUGGCUGGACCUUUCAGUACUCAGUCCGGGACCCUAACAUGGACGAUGUUCAAGUCUUCACGGUUCUCCCAUGAAAAAAAAAAAAACAGGUAAAUUUUGUGUUACUAAGAAUCAUAUUUGAUUGAUUCAUAUCAAAUGAGUUUCUUGAAAUUUUUAGUAUUGAUAAAAAAAAAAAAAUUCCUUUGCAGCCAGGCUUUAAAAAAGAUAAAGAAACGCCACGAAGUUCAUGUCUGGAAAUACGGAACGGCAAGCUCGUUGGAGAAUAUUCUGAAUUAUUGUUUCUUUAAAACAAAAAUCUGCUCCCCAUUGGCCAGGCAAGGAGACUCAGGAACCUCUAUUAUUAUUAUUAUUGUUCCUGUAAACAACAGAACAUAUAUGCUUAGUUGACUUCAUGUAGUUUUGUGAUUAAAUAUUAAAUAUUUGUCAAACAUACGAGCUACAUAAAGCUUGGGGAAUUCCUUGGUAUUUUCAAUCCCCUCGGUCCAUUUUUUCCCAUCCAUAACUUUUCUUUCCUUUCAUCAUCUCAACAGAACCGAAAGAAGAAACCUAAUCAAAAAACACUUCUCAUCAGCCAAAAAAAAAAAAAAAAAAAAAGACAUGAUGGGCGAAAAUAUCAAAUUAGAAUUUAGUUCUCAAUUACGUUAAUGAGAAAAAGACGAAGGACUAACAAAUAAGUUUAUUUAAAAAAAAAAAACUGGAAAAUGUUUAGAUUUUGACGGCUCCACCUCUAAAAAUUCUACACGUGGCACUAAUACGGAAGAAAAAUCAAAAGGAUGACUUUCCUAUUCAAAAUUCAAAGCCCAGAGAAAAUUUAAAAGGGUGGAACUUUUGUUUCUCCUGGGACGAUCUCGUCGUCUUUGAUCGUCUCGAGGGAUUGGGUUCGAUCGUCUCAAAUUUCUCUGAGGACUUUUAAAAGGUUCUGAUGAUCGAUUGCUCUUGUCACUUUGUUAUUUUCGAUUGUCCGUUGAUUUGAUUGGUUAGAGAUUAUAGGUUUAGGGUUUAUGGUUGGUUUCUAAAAAGUUAUCUCCUUUUUGAAAUGUUGUGUUCAAAGGUUUUGUUUCUUCUAUAGAAAAACUGUAUAUGAUUGGAUGGAGCUGAGCUGAUGACUUUUAGUUUUAGAUAAUUUUAUUUAUUUAUAAGAUUGAUUACAACGAAUAGUAGGGCCUAUGUGUUUGUGUCAUAAUCAAACAUAGUUUGCUAAAGAAUAGUGAGUAUUGAGAGUUUAUGAAGCCUUUUUUUUUGUUUAUUGAUCUAAACAGGUUUAAAGUGAUUUGUUUCAAAGCGAUGCCUUCUCUCAUCUCACAGCAAUGGCAGGAGAGAACUAGUGGAUUCUUUUCUUCCUCAGGUUUAGAUAGUUUAUACACUAACUAACGUCUUUACUCUCUGUGUGAGUAUGUGUUUGUGGUUGAAGGAAGGCUUACUAUUGUUUUAUGCUGUGGAAUAGGAACGAAGCUUAGGGAAGCUAGGCAAUCAGCUGGUGCUUUUGUCGGGGAAGUGGCUAAGGAUGCGAAAGUGAACGUUACCGAUGUUGCUGAAAGAGUUGGGUCGUUGUUCAAAAGCAGGUGGGCGAUUCUUCAGCAGCCUGCAACUAGACACGCUGUGCAAGAACACCUCAUAACAGCUGCUGCCACAACUGGGACUUUGGUCAGGAAAGGUAUCACUGAGACUAAAGAAAAGGUUUCCGUUGGAAAGAUCAAAGUGGAAGAGGUAAUUUAUUCAAAUAAAAUAACUUCUCCAACUUUCAUUUUCCAACGUGUGAGAGAGCUAAUGUUCUUUUGAUGUUCGUUUUUCUUUUAAGGCGGCAAAAAAGACUGCACAAAAGAGCAAGACUCUUUUGACGGAUAUCGAAAGAUGGCAGAAGGUAUGUGAGACUUGCAUCUGAUCCUAGCUGUUGAUUUGAGUUUUGUCUCUAAUGUUUGAUUCUUUGUAAACCUGCAGGGAGUUGCCAGCUCAGAUGGUAAGAUAGUCGCGGUUUAUGCAUUUAUAGACGUUGGUUAAUCAUUCUAAGUUUAUGCUUUGCUUGUAUUUUGUGCUCAGUGUUUGGUGUUGCGAUUGAGGUCACUGUCCAGCGGCAGGAGUCGACCAGGCCUAUUCCAAUAAUAUUGAUCAAGUGCGCAGACUAUCUCAUAUUAACAGGUAAGAAUAUUCCAACCAAAUUGUGGCUGUACUGCUUAUAUAGCUCAUACGAUGUUUCUUCUCCUCAGGACUUAACUCACCGAACUUGUUCAAAACCGAAGGAGACAAAAAGCUGAUCCAGCAAUUGGUUUCUGCUUACAAUCAAGGUAAACCAACGUUGUAACAAGUUUUCUUCUCUGACUCUUAUGGCUCAGGGAGGAUUCUGUGUUAAACUAGUCACUUGUUUGUCAGAUCCUAGCGCGUCAAUACCUGAAGGCGUGAAUCCAGUUGAUGUCGCUGCCCUCAUGAAAUACUAUCUCGCAAGCCUUCCAACACCACUAACAACUUUUGAGCUUUAUAAUGAAAUCAAAGAUGCAAGGUCAAGCGUUAACAGAAUGAGAAAGUCACUCCAAAAGCUUUCCAGUGUGAACUAUAAUACACUUGAGUUCGUAACUGCGUUGUUACUUCGUGUGAGCGAGAAAUCACAGCUCAACAAGGUAGGAAUGUCUUCUCUAUAAUCACUCAACGUAGUUAUAAGUUAACACUGGCUUGUAAUCUUGAUGAUUGAGAAUCGUUUUCUUGGACUUGGACAGAUGGAUUCACACAGCCUAGCUAUGGAGAUGGCUCCGGUGAUCAUGUGGCGAGAAGACAAGAGGCCUGAGUCUUAUAGGGAAUAUUGGAGACGCCCAUCAAGGAGUCCUAAGAAAAGCAACGACUUUGAAACUGCUACUCCAUGGGACUUACUCUCAGGUAAACAAAAACCGCAAUAAAGAACUUAGCUUUUAUACUAUCUAUCAUAAAAAAAGCAGAGUUCCAUUGUGGUCAUAAUUAUCGUCGAUGAUUACAGAUGAAGGAGAAGGUGUAGAUGCAUCUUCAUCAAUCCCUCUAGAUGAUAUUGUUCAAGUUGAUUUUGGUGCGGUCGAGGUUGUGCAGUGCCUGAUUGAACAUCAUAACGCGAUUUUCACGGAUGCAGACGAGACUGUAUGGAGGUGAAAACAACAGCUUGCCAGUCUUUCUCUAAUGGUCCCCAGAUUCAAGUCAGUGGUUUCUCAAUUUGUGGACCAAACGAGAAGAACAUAUGCAUUGUUGAUGUGGAUGAUGAUUAACUAGUGGUUUUAGUAAAUAAGCUUUGUUUCAUAUGGUUUUUGUGUAACAUUGUUUUGAUAAGUAAGAAUUCAAUUUUCUGAUUACUUUCUUCUAUAUGAAACAUAAAGCAAUCACCUUGCUAUUAACGCAACUAGCUUAACCUUGCCGAUCAGAGAACACAGCUGAUUGUGUUUUCUUUGCCAACUCCAAACCGAUUAAACCGAACCAUAUAGUACUGGCAGUUAUCUGAGUCAUGAGCUCUUUCACCAACUCCAAACCGAUUCAAACCGAACCGUAUAUACUGGCAGUUAUUUGAGUCAUGAGCAGACCAAUGAACAUAAAGUCAAUAGAGCAAGACAGAUAACUUUUGUAGCUUCUAAAGCUCACAGGUCAUGGCGAGAAGCUAUCUUUCGAUUAUUCUCUCUACUCUCCUUCUGUUUCUGCCUCUACUGACGGUAAGUGACUUCUGAAAAUCUCAAUUCAGUUGGAACUGGGGAAUAAAAAUCGAAACUUUGAUCACUUUAUGAGUUAGGUAGGUGAACCAGUCAUGACAAAAGGGUGAUCGUACUCUAGAUUUUGCUAAUUUUGAAUGCUUUUCUUAUUUUGGAUGUACAUACUCUGAAAACCGGAUCCUUAACUAGGUUCUGUCUGAAUGGUUUUGGUUUCAGGCAGCUGAAGCGGAGUUGGGGAAACCAAAGAAGUUCCCAGUAGUGGUGAGCACUUGGCCUUUCAUAGAAGCGGUUAGAGCAGCUUGGAGAGUAGCUAAUAAUGGAAGCUCUGCAGUAGAAGCUGUUGUGGAAGGUUGUUCUGCUUGUGAGGAACUCCGCUGUGACGGUACAGGUAAAAAGCCUAUCAAAAACAUUUGUUUAUGUAACUUUACUUUUUGCAAAGUGAUAAAUUUUAUUUUGAUUAGUUGGGCCUGGAGGAAGUCCUAAUGAGAACGGUGAAACCAUGCUUGAUGCUUUAAUCAUGGACGGGGUAAUAAAUAAUUAAAUCCCUUCCAGUAAAAAUGCAUCAAAGAUCUUGAAGAAAAUGACUCUCAAGUCUGUUUGGAGAUUCUUAGGUGACUAUGGAGGUUGGAGCUGUUGCUGCAAUGCGGUAUGUCAAAGACGGUAUAAGAGCUGCGUGGCUUGUGAUGAAGCACUCUCAACACACGUUGUUAGCUGGAGAAGGAGCAUCAGCUUUUGCUAUCUCCAUGGGUCUUCCUGGACCUAUGAACCUGAGCUCCCCUGAAUCUUUAAAGAAGUGGUUGGACUGGAAAGAGAAUCGGUGUCAGCCCAAUUUUAGAAAGAACGUUGUCCCUGCGAACGGCUGUGGACCUUACAAGCCGAAACAUGGUGGUAUGGAUGUUUCUACUGAGUCUUGUGAGAUGGGAACAAUAGAGUAUAGACUUCCUCCUCUUGUUGGUCCUCACAACCAUGAUACCAUAUCGAUGGCUGUUAU
rnacentral:lncRNA from 1 species